CAUGUAGGCGGUCUGUCAAGUCAGAUGUGAAAGCCCGGGGCUUAACCCCGGAAGUGCAUUUGAUACUGUCAGGCUUGAGUAUGGGAGAGGGAAGUGGAAUUCCUGGUGUAGAGGUGAAAUUCGUAGAUAUCAGGAGGAACACCGGUGGCGAAGGCGACUUCCUGGACCAAUACUGACGCUGAGGUGCGAAGGCGUGGGUAGCAAACAGGAUUAGAUACCCUGGUAGUCC
rnacentral:rRNA from 1 species